AACGAACGCUGGCGGCAUGCCUAACACAUGCAAGUCGAGCGAGGACUUCGGUCCUUUCGUCGUACGGGUGUGUCACGCGUGGGAACGUUCCCUUUUCUUCGUCCUAUCCCUGGGACACUGGGAGUAAUACCGGAUGGGCCCUUUUGGGGGAAGAUUUAUCGACGAAGGAUCUGCCCGCGUUGGAUUAGGUAGUUGUUGUGGUAAUGGCCUACUACGCCGCCGAUCCAUAGAUGGUUUGAGAGGCUGAUCAGCGACACUGGGACUGAGACACGGCCGAGAAUCUUACGCGAGGAAGGAGUGGGGAAUCGUAGAAAAUGGGGGAAAUGAUGAACGAGCCAGGAUGCGUGAGCGAUGAAGGUAGGAGGGAAGUAAAGUUCUUUUAGCUGGGAAGAUAAUGACGGUACCAGAAGAAGAAGCCACGGCUAACUACGUG
rnacentral:rRNA from 1 species